rnacentral:rRNA from 1 species
AGUGAACGCUGGCGGUAGGCCUAACACAUGCAAGUCGAACGGCAGCACAGUAAGAGCUUGCUCUUACGGGUGGCGAGUGGCGGACGGGUGAGGAAUACAUCGGAAUCUACUUUUUCGUGGGGGAUAACGUAGGGAAACUUACGCUAAUACCGCAUACGACCUACGGGUGAAAGCAGGGGAUCUUCGGACCUUGCGCGAUUGAAUGAGCCGAUGUCGGAUUAGCUAGUUGGCGGGGUAAAGGCCCACCAAGGCGACGAUCCGUAGCUGGUCUGAGAGGAUGAGCAGGCACAAGGGAAGAGAGAUAGGGAGAAGAGAACAAAGGGAAGGAGCAGAGGGGAAGAUGGGAAAAGGGGGGAAAGGAUGAAAAAGCAAAGACGGGGGAGAGAAAAAGGACUGAGGGUUGUAAAGACCUUUUGGUGGGAAAGAAAAAAAGAAGGAUAAAAAACCGCGGGAAUGACGGGACCGAAAGAAAAAGGAACGGCUAACUACGUG